GCGGGCGUGGUGAAAGGGUAAACACAGCAGACUUAAAAUCUGCCGCCGAUGGCUUGCGGGUUCAAGUCCCGCCGCCCGCACCA
rnacentral:tRNA from 1 species